AACUGCGAAUGGCUCAUUAAAUCAGUUAUCGUUUAUUUGAUAGUACCUUGCUACAUGGAUACCUGUGGUAAUUCUAGAGCUAAUACAUGCUGAAAACCUCGACUUCGGAAGGGGUGUAUUUAUUAGAUAAAAAACCAAUGCCCUUCGGGGCUCCUUGGUGAUUCAUAAUAACUUAACGAAUCGCAUGGCCUUGCGCCGGCGAUGGUUCAUUCAAAUUUCUGCCCUAUCAACUUUCGAUGGUAGGAUAGUGGCCUACCAUGGUGGCAACGGGUAACGGGGAAUUAGGGUUCGAUUCCGGAGAGGGAGCCUGAGAAACGGCUACCACAUCCAAGGAAGGCAGCAGGCGCGCAAAUUACCCAAUCCCAAUCCGGGGAGGUAGUGACAAUAAAUACUGAUACGGGGCUCUUUUGGGUCUCGUAAUUGGAAUGAGUACAAUCUAAAUCCCUUAACGAGGAACAAUUGGAGGGCAAGUCUGGUGCCAGCAGCCGCGGUAAUUCCAGCUCCAAUAGCGUAUAUUAAAGUUGUUGCAGUUAAAAAGCUCGUAGUUGAACCUUGGGUCUGGCUGGCCGGUCCGCCUCACCGCGAGUACUGGUCCGGCUGGACCUUUCCUUCUGGGGAACCUCAUGGCCUUCACUGGCUGUGGGGGGAACCAGGACUUUUACUGUGAAAAAAUUAGAGUGUUCAAAGCAGGCCUUUGCUCGGAUACAUUAGCAUGGAAUAAUAGAAUAGGACGUGCGGUUCUAUUUUGUUGGUUUCUAGGACCGCCGUAAUGAUUAAUAGGGAUAGUCGGGGGCGUCAGUAUUCAGCUGUCAGAGGUGAAAUUCUUGGAUUUGCUGAAGACUAACUACUGCGAAAGCAUUCGCCAAGGAUGUUUUCAUUAAUCAGGGAACGAAAGUUAGGGGAUCGAAGACGAUCAGAUACCGUCGUAGUCUUAACCAUAAACUAUGCCGACUAGGGAUCGGACGGUGUUCUUAUUAUGACCCGUUCGGCACCUUACGAGAAAUCAAAGUUU
rnacentral:rRNA from 1 species